UGAGCAAUCUGCCCUUCACAUCGGAAUAACCAUUGGAAACGACGUCUAAUGCCGAAUACGACCUCCUUUCGCAUGAUCGGAGGUGGAAAGCUCCGGCGGAGAAGGAUGAGCUCGCGGCCUAUCAGCUAGUUGGUGUGGGUAAUGGCCCACCAAGGCGACGACGGGUAGCCGGCCUGAGAGGGUGACCGGCCACACUGGGACUGAGACACGGCCCAGACCUCCGUACGGGAGCA
rnacentral:rRNA from 1 species